ACCCACAGAGGGUCCUCAUGAGGCUCUUUGGAGGGGAGCAUUUUCUGUUAUUAGACAAAAUUCUUCCACUGGUUUCAGUAGCCAUGUGAGGAGCAACUUGGACUUUACAAUUAAAAACAAAACAGAAGGCAUCUGAGCUUCAACCCAUUCUCUGCUACUGACCACUGGUCAUUUGAGAGAAUCUGAAUUAUGGCUAUUCGAUGCAGUCCUUUGAUGAGCUAGCUACAUGGUGUAACAUGCACAUGAGCUGGGCUGGUGCUGACAUCUUUCAAAAGAGGUCUCCUUUUUAUUCCAGAGACUUGAAAAAAAGGCAAUUCAGAGAUAUCUGGUGAAUGGAUUUAUUUCUGAUUUAAAUUGCCCGGGUGCCAAAUGAGUGAAGAUAGAGCGAAAUCCCUGCAGUGCAAUAUUAACGGAAGCCACUAGAGGGCAAGCGUACUUCGUGCCGUGACGGGAUAGCAAGCUGAGGCUUUAAUUCUGAGCAUGAUUGAGCAGCGAAGGUGACCUGAGCAGAGGUUAGCGAGAGCCCAUUAUUGUAAAAGAAGAGGUCAGUCAAUCAAGUGACAGGGAUGAAAUCUCAUUUGAGUCACUUUGACGCAAAGCUGACCAGUUAUAUCCAUCAGAGCCCAUAGGAACUGAAAACCAAAAGACAAGAGUAUCGUUUUGAUGGAGGUGAACUCUAGGGGGAGAAAAGGGUGAAACAACUAGGUUAACCAGUUUUACCUUUACAUGAGAGCAGUGGGGGCGUUUUUAAACACAUUUAAUGGGCUACUGAAAACAUGGCCCAACCUGAUGCAAUCCGAACAAAGGAACAGGAUGAGCAGUGCUGUUUUAACUGAAAAUAAUAGCUUAUCUAUUGCUGAAACAUGACCCCCAAUGGGAUGUCCAUAUUUAUGGGAACUUGUUCAUUUGGAAACUGAUGCCUAUUUGAAUAUAAGCAUGACCUUCCUAAGAUAGACUGUAUGCAGACAGUCUCAAUUAGGUUUAACGUCUUGGGGUUCUUCUGAAAAUUUACAAAAGCUACACAAAUAUGAAAUUAUCCUGUAAAAACAAAGUCAGAGUUUCUUAAAGGAGGUUGAUGUGUCACGUGCCUCAGACUUACUUGGGGAUUGUUGCUAAGAUUUUAAUUCCAAGGUUCCACCCCAGAUCUUCCCAAUCAGAAUUAUUAGGUAGGGCCUAGGCAUUAAUUAGCAAUGUUCAUAAGGACCUUAGGUGAUUCCUUUAUAUGCAAGGCCAUUUGAGGACAAAGAAGUUUGGUAUCCCCUGGGACACCUGCCUGAUGAUACUUUCUGUGUUAGGCAAUUUUUGUUUGGUCAGGCUCUAAAUUGCAGCUCAGGGUUGCAAUCUAUUUGCUUACACACAAAUACCCAGUUUUAUAAAGUGGGCAUGGCCUCACUUGUGUGGAUUGCUUGUAUUUGGUUGCAAA